ACCCCCUGGCAAUGGGCAAGGAGAGACACCUGAUUGGUGGUGUUGCUCUUAUAACAAUCAGGGGCAGAGCAGACAUGCAGUCCUUAGUUUAUCCUAGCUUGAUGCCUGUCUUGGUGGCCAGAGCUGUUUCAUGCCUGAGGCACAUUU
rfam:Myotis davidii contig70264, whole genome shotgun sequence.